GGAGAGACAACUGGUGUAAAGACGGACAAUUUCAGGCCAACUGAUCACCACCACCAAGGAGAUGGCAGGGAAAAUCCAUUUGAAGGAGAUGGAAGAAACAUUUGAACUGCUGUACCAGGAGUUUAGACGAUUGAAAUCUGUGUGUGAGAGGCAGGCAGAGAUGAUUAAGAAGUUGACUGAGAAAAGAGAAAUGGCUACUGAAAGGCCAUUCACUCUGCCAAUACAGUGCACAGAUGCUGGGAAGCCAGACCAAUCUGAAGGACCCUUUCUCAGACCACAGAAGCAGAAAGUCCUCCAGGUAGCUGCCUGCAAUGUUCCUACUGAUUCUCAAGGCAUUAUGGUGGACAGAAAACAUGGCAAGGAGCUUGAGUAUUGUUCCAGACUUGACAUCAGAUUUCCCCCAACCAGAGAUGAAUCCAGCUUUUUCAUAAGUGAACCAGAGAAAUUAGCCGACUUGAAUACUGUUCAUCAACCAGAACCUCCAACUCCAAUUGACGGAAGUGUUAAUGACUCUCUGAGCAACUUGUAUGAUGACUGCAGAUGCUCUUACAACUUUAAUGUAGAUAGGAGUUCAUUGGAACAGCCAGCUAUGGAUAUUUCUCACCACAUCCUGGGUGAGGGGGAUAUAAUUUUAAAAUCGAAUUACCUCUUUCAGGAAAGACAGUACUCAGGUAAUGAUUUGGAAAACGUUCCAGAGCAAAGGAACUUGAACUCAGCUGUUAUCUAUCGUUCCACAGAUUGUGUAUCUGUUUUACCUGAACUUUCCAUCCCUCCAGAGAUAGCGGAGCCACAGCAGAGUUCAUGGAGCCCUCAUUGUUUAGCUGAGGAAUGCUGCACAGGACAUGAAGCCAUGCUGAGCUCUGAAUCAAGCCUCAACUCCCAAGUCUGUGAAUUCUGCCAAGCUGUGUUCCCAGCUGGUGCAGCAACUCGAGCCGAUUACUUGGUGCAUCUCACUGGACAUAUUGAAUUCGAGUAACUCCUGUGGCUGCAUUUGUGGGCAUCUGAUUAAACCCAACUAACUACUGCAAAAGGCCGUUGAUCAACACUGUACUCAAUUCAAUAGACACUGACUGGCCAAGUGUGGGUGAAAGUGUUUGAUCUUGACCAUGUACAACGAUAGGGAUGAGGGGCACUCUUAACUGGAUUGCAAUGGCACUCAGGACGGGAUGUGGUGGGAAGGUAAUUAAACUAAUGCGAAAAGACCGGAAUUUGCUGCACAGCAGACUGCUUUACACUCCAUGUAGUUCGGAGAACAGAUGGCAGAAAGUGUUUGAUCCAUGGAAUAACAAACAGCAGGAGUGUGUUACCAGGCAGCAACUCACCAGGGAAGACUUCAGAUCAUGGCGGCAACAUUACUGUUUCUGAUAGAUAGCAGGCAGUCUAACAAAACAAACUUUGGUAGUAUGAUUUUCUGGAAACAUCACGCAUUAAACUGUCAACUUAAUUUCCAAGAAACCACACGGUAAACCUUCUUUAAUACAGAGAGUUUCCAACAUUUCUAUAUCUUCCAGGUUUGCAUACAGCCCAGGGAGAAAUUCUGCAUUGGCAGAAGGAUUGAAAACCAGAAGACACCAAUGUAACUUGAAUGGCCAAAGAACCAUGGACAUGAGGAUUUUUAAAAAUAAGAGCGAGUGAUUUGGAUGUGAAAUGAAAGUGUAGUGAAGGAUGAACGAUGGUGAUUGGCAGACUCCCCUAGCCGGUUAACCACUCAGGGAAGUUAUAAGGCUGGUGCUGAUGCUACUCGCGCUGCGUGUGUCGCUGGUGGAACGAGUAAGGAGCGCGCGCGCUGUGUAAGGGGGCUAUACUGAGCACGCGCUCCGACCCUCCCGGCCGCAAUUGUCCGUCUGACCGCUUGCAGCUUCAGUCAGCAGUGAAGAUCGGCAGCGUUUCUGUGAGCAGCAACCAUGCCAGCUGGGAGCCAGGAAUCUGAGUGUGCCCUCAGUUACCAGGUACCGUGCCUGACCUUUGGAGCGUCUGAUGUGCGUGUGUUUCUUCAUUUAACGUUAAAUAUUUCACUUUUUAAAAAAUGUUCAUAAAUGGUAGGAUUGACUGUAGUUAAUUAAAUUUAUUUCCAAAAUGUGAUGAACGAUGUUUAAUAUUUGAUUGCUUCCGUUGGCUCUUGUGUGCGUUCUCUGAAGAUAUUUUUCAUUCCUCAUUGUGAAGGUAAAACUAUUCCAGUCAAUGCGGCAGUGACAUUUUAAUAUUUCUGUCAUGUGUGUUGCGUGCAUGUUCUGCGUUCCUGAGUACCGGCGGCUACUCCGGAUAAAAGGCUUAGAACAGUAAAUCGAGGGAAAGGGAGAUGAGGUGGACGAACACUAGUGCUUGCACAUUAACAGCUUAACCUUGAAGGCGACGAGGAUGAAUCCUGGGCCAAGAACAUGUCAGCGAUGUCAGUCCGACUGAAGAAUUUUUAUUGCUUCGAGUUUUGAUAUCUGCUGCAACAUGAAUAUUUUAAUAAAAUGUUAUCAAACAGUGCCAUCCCGUAUCAUCAUGUUUUCAGAUGCUUUAAUUUCGCGGCUUUUCCUCAAAAUUGUAA